rnacentral:rRNA from 3 species
AUCCUCCAAGGCUAAAUACUCCUGACUGACCGAUAGUGAACCAGUACCGUGAGGGAAAGGCGAAAAGAACCCCGGCGAGGGGAGUGAAAAAGAACCUGAAACCGUGUACGUACAAGCAGUGGGAGCCUCUUUUAUGGGGUGACUGCGUACCUUUUGUAUAAUGGGUCAGCGACUUAUAUUCUGUAGCAAGGUUAACCGAAUAGGGGAGCCGGAGGGAAACCGAGUCUUAAUUGGGCGUUAAGUUGCAGGGUAUAGACCCGA